GGUGGAGUUUAGAGCUAAACAAUUCUGAUUUUUAAAGUAGGGUCUUCUGUCAUAGCCUUCGGUCAUGGAAACUCCGAAGCCAUCCUUCUUCGGCCAGGGAUAGACGUGACCGUAGGCGACACCUAGCAGGGCUCUUGAAUUUUGAGAAAAUCGAAAAAUUUGGAGGAAUUUGGGGAUUAUGGAUUCAAUUAGGGGUGGGCAAACGAG